GGGGAUGCCGGGUUUCGACAGGGACCGGAAGCCCGUUCUUGCAGGCCGAGGACGUCACCUAACUCGUUAAAGCGGUGGCAACAAUUAAACGGCAACGAAGAGUUAGCCCUCGCCGCCUAAUUAGGUAGCGACGUUUCGCACCAGACUUCCUCGGCGUCAGGUACGAAGCGAUAUUUUGCCGGGGUGCUCCGGCCUUGACGCCCGUACGGGGCCGGCUAAGACUCUUCGGGCUAGUCGAUCGAGAGUUUGUCCGCUGACACCUCGAACGGUAAAACUGACAGCGGACUAAGCCUGUAGGUGGGACGGGGUGAUAUUUCCUGGACGGGGCGUUCGACUCGCCCCCAUCUCCACCA
rnacentral:tmRNA from 1 species